rnacentral:rRNA from 1 species
GUAGGGAAUUUUCCACAAUGGACGAAAGUCUGAUGGAGCAACGCCGCGUGCAGGAUGAAGGCUUUCGGGUCGUAAACUGCUUUUCUGAUUGACGAUUAUGACGGUAGGUCAGGAAUAAGGGUCUGCUAACUACGUGCCAGCAGCCGCGGUCAUACGUAGGACCCAAGCGUUAUCCGGAAUUACUGGGCGUAAAGAGUUGCGUAGGCGGCAGAGUAAGUAGGUAGUGAAAGCGUCCCGCUCAACGGGAUAAACAUUAUCUAAACUGCUCAGCUAGAGAACAAGAGAGGUACCUGGAAUUCCCAGUGUAGGAGUGAAAUCCGUAGAUAUUGGGAGGAACACCAAUGGCGUAGGCAGGGUACUGGCUUGUUUCUGACGCUAAGGCACGAAAGCGUGGGGAGCGAACGGGAUUAGAUACCCUAGUAGUCC